CAGGUGAUAUUGACACGGAAAGAUUGAACAAGCUUGCAGCUUUCCAGAGAAAAGCUCUUCAGCAUGCCUUCCUUUAUGUUUUUUAUUACCAUGUGGAGAUGAACCGAGUCUUUCAAAACAAUGAGAUGAAACCCUUUAUAAUCGGAGUGCAGUGCAAGAAGAUUCUCCGGGUAGUCAAUUACAGUUUCUUCGCCCGAGGUAGAACAUUUUAUCUUCACCUCAAUUAAACUCAGUCUAUGCUUAAUUGUUUUGACAUCAUGCAACAUGAUGAAUAAUCUUCUUUCCCUUUUAAGGUUUCUCCGGCGCAU